AUGAACAUGAGAAGGAUGCCAGGACAUCUCCAUUGCAGCGUCAAGAAUGUCAGGAUAAUGGGCUUCUGCUCUGCAAAGAGCAUGGCCGAACUAACCUGCCAUAUUCUUGAGAAUGCGACUGCACUCGAGCGCCUUACCUUGGACGCCAUAUACGACAAUAGUAGUUAUGGAGACGCUGAAAGAUGUUGUGUCGGGGAAAAAGGUGAAUGCAACCCGAAAAGCAGGAGUAUGAUCAUGCACGCCCACAAAGGGCUGGGGGUUAUUGGUAAAUAUGUCGUGGAGAAAGUUCCCUCCACGGUUCAGUUGAGUGUGAAGAAGCUCUGCAGCCGUUGCCAUAAAAUCAAAUCCAAGGGGUUUAGACUUCGAGCCUUUAGUAGACAUUACCCUAACUGGCCUUAUGAAGGGUUGUUUGAAAUGGGUGUAUUUUGUGUGGCCAUCGGUAUUUAG
rnacentral:rRNA from 1 species